rnacentral:lncRNA from 1 species
AAGGCCCUCAGAAAGCAUCCAAAUUUUCUCAAAUCAAAAGAGAAUAUUCUUUUUUUGGAGAGAAUCAGACAAGUCAAACAAAAUUGGACAAUGAUCUGAAACAAACUGGACAAGAUGAAAAGUCUUGAAAUCAAAAAAUAGAUUAAGCCACGUGUCAGAAGCAAAGACACGAUCUAUUCUCUCCCAUACGCGGGCCAAACCCAAUCGGUUAU